rnacentral:misc_RNA from 1 species
UGUGGGAGCUGGCUUGCCUGCGAUAGCUUCACAUUGCUAUACCUGAUGCACCGCAGUGUCUGCAUCGCAGGCAAGCCAGCUCCCACA